rnacentral:rRNA from 1 species
UACGUAGGAGGCGAGCGUUGUCCGGAGUUACUGGGCGUAAAGGGUGCGUAGGUGGGUUUGUAAGUCAGCGGUGAAAUCUCCGAGCUUAACUCGGAAACUGCCAUUGAUACUAUAGAUCUUGAAUUUUCUGGAGGUAAGCGGAAUAUGUCAUGUAGCGGUGAAAUGCUUAGAUAUGACAUAGAACACCAAUUGCGAAGGCAGCUUGCUACAGGAAUAUUGACACUGAGGCACGAAAGCGUGGGGAUCAAACAGG